UGCAGUCGAGCGGCAGCACAGGUACUUGUACCGGGUGGCGAGCGGCGGACGGGUGAGUAAUGCCUAGGAAUCUGCCUGGUAGUGGGGGAUAACGCUCGGAAACGGACGCUAAUACCGCAUACGUCCUACGGGAGAAAGCAGGGGACCUUCGGGCCUUGCGCUAUCAGAUGAGCCUAGGUCGGAUUAGCUAGUUGGUGGGGUAAUGGCUCACCAAGGCGACGAUCCGUAACUGGUCUGAGAGGAUGAUCAGUCACACUGGAACUGAGACACGGUCCAGACUCCUACGGGAGGCAGCAGUGGGGAAUAUUGGACAAUGGGCGAAAGCCUGAUCCAGCCAUGCCGCGUGUGUGAAGAAGGUCUUCGGAUUGUAAAGCACUUUAAGUUGGGAGGAAGAGCAGUUGCUUAAUACGUGACUGUUUUGACGUUACCGACAGAAUAAGCACCGGCUAACUCUGUGCCAGCAGCCGCGGUAAUACAGAGGGUGCAAGCGUUAAUCGGAAUUACUGGGCGUAAAGCGCGCGUAGGUGGUUUGUUAAGUUGAAUGUGAAAUCCCCGGGCUCAACCUGGGAACUGCAUCCAAAACUGGCAAGCUAGAGUAUGGUAGAGGGGUGGUGGAAUUUCCUGUGUAGCGGUGAAAUGCGUAGAUAUAGGAAGG
rnacentral:rRNA from 1 species